rnacentral:rRNA from 1 species
AUUGAACGCUGGCGGCAUGCUUUACACAUGCAAGUCGAACGGUAACAGGCCGCAAGGUGCUGACGAGUGGCGAACGGGUGAGUAAUGCAUCGGAACGUGCCCAGUCGUGGGGGAUAACGCAGCGAAAGUUGCGCUAAUACCGCAUACGAUCUAUGGAUGAAAGCGGGGGACCGUAAGGCCUCGCGCGAUUGGAGCGGCCGAUGUCAGAUUAGGUAGUUGGUGGGGUAAAGGCUCACCAAGCCGAUGAUCUGUAGCUGGGCUGAGAGGGCGACCAGCCACACUGGGACUGAGACACGGCCCAGACUCCUACGGGAGGCAGCAGUGGGGAAUUUUGGACAAUGGGCGCAAGCCUGAUCCAGCAAUGCCGCGUGCAGGAAGAAGGCCUUCGGGUUGUAAACUGCUUUUGUACGGAACGAAACGGUCCUGGUUAAUACCCGGGGCUAAUGACGGUACCGUAAGAAUAAGCACCGGCUAACUACGUGCCAGCCGCCGCAGUAAAAC